CGCCCCGUAGUUUAAGGGAUAGAACGUUUGACUACUAAUCUUAAGGUUUGGGUUCGAGUCCCAACGGGGCGG
rnacentral:tRNA from 1 species